rnacentral:rRNA from 1 species
UACGUAGGGGGCAAGCGUUGUCCGGAAUCAUUGGGCGUAAAGAGCGUGUAGGCGGCCCGGUAAGUCCGCUGUGAAAGUCCAGGGCUCAACCCUGGGAUGCCGGUGGAUACUGUCGGGCUUGAGUACGGAAGAGGCGAGUGGAAUUUCUGGUGUAGCGGUGAAAUGCGCAGAUAUCAGGAGGAACACCAAUUGCGAAGGCAGCUCGCUGGGACGUUACUGACGCUGAGACGCGAAAGCGUGGGGAGCAAACAGG